AAACUCGUUGUGGACAGAGCUCAAUGAGGUGGCCUUUCCCAAUGCAAGCGACUGGGGUCUGAAUUAGAUAGUAUGCAAAAAGCAGAGGGGACCAGCUGGCAUGAAGCCAAGUGCGAGCAAAAUAAAGGGAGCGAGAGAACUAGAG
ensembl:ncRNA T12B3.8 ncRNA